rnacentral:misc_RNA from 1 species
CUCGUACUUGGAGAGUAUAGUUGCUCAUAGGAGCUCCGUCGUUUGAGCGCGGGUGUCUUCUUGACGCAGCCUGAGGCGCGUGUCAAGGCAAGGUUUUACUUCACUGAGCAGAAUCUUGCAGAGGCUUAUCAGCGCCGCCGCUCUCCCUGUCCCGGAAGAAAAAGGCUACAAACGAUUUCCUUGUCCAGUGUCAAGGCAUUGCACGUGUUUCGCACAAACGCAAUUUGCCACCCCCCCCUCGCAGCGUUCUCGGAAGGCAUUCGCUUUCCGCUAGCAUCUCUGCUAGCUCUUUGUAUAGGCUUGGGUCGCACCUACUUUUUCGUGGCGCUUCCGCUUCCAGUGGGCGCAGCUAGCAACAGCAGCUACUGUUCGCCGGUGGCAAAAUGGACCGCUUCUUCAAAAAGAGCUCUUCUGAAGCCGCUCAGGCGAAGGAGGAAGUGGAACUGUUGCAGCAGAAGAUAAAGACGAUGGGUGAAGUGGCGACAGCAUUGGAGGCUCAGUUGAAUGAUGAAAAGACAAAAUACACUUUGCUGCUCACCAAAACAAACACCUGGAAGGAAAAAGUAAAGGCACUUACUGAGUCCGAUCGAUCGCGCAUCGCUGAGCUAGAAUCACAGCUGGCAGCCUACCAUGUGGCCGGCGAAGCCAGCGGCGGUGAAUUGACCCCCGAGAUACGCGCUGCUGUUCAAGCAGCACUUCGCGGCAUCGUGGCCAAGCACGCCGAAGAGAUGGGCGCAUGCAAGCAGCAGGUGGCAGCUGCGCAGGCCACUUUGAGCACCAAGGAAACCACCAUUGCAGAGCUCAUGCAAGAGCUGGAGGCGGUCAAGGCGGUUUAUUUGGAGAGCCAGCAGCGUUUCGCAGAGGAAAUGCAGUCCGUGACAAAUCACCACGAAAAGGAGAUGGCACAUCUGCGCUGCCAACCUGAAUCUCUGCAGGAACUCGAGGACCUGAAAUCUCGAUUCCAAGAGCAGCAGAAGGAGAUCGCCUCGUUGGAGAAUCACUCGCUGCAAAAUGCACAGAUAAUGAGUGUUCUUCAACAAGACUUGGCCUCCUCCGCAGAGAAAAAUGAAUCGCUAAUUCAGGAGGUGCGCUCACUUCAAGAAUCACUCGAGACCCUUAAGCAGAAGCAAGCAAUUUGGAAAGAAAAGGUGAUGCAGAUGAAGGCGAAGGAUGACGAGACCAUCAAACAGCUGCAAUCAGAGCUGGCACUCAUGCGUGAGUCAUCUCUCGAGAUGAAUCAUUCACCUCCUGUAGCUGAGCCCCCUGCAAUUUCCCAGCCUGGUACGAGCGCCACAGCAGCAACGCUCGACCGAGGGUCUACCUCGGCCUCGAAGCCAACGCUGUCACCACCUGAGGAGCAUCUUUACAAGCUCUCGAUUCAACUAGAGGAAGAGCCCAUUAACUCUCGCCAGUUUCAAGAGCAGUUAGCAAUUUGGAAGCAAAAGGUCAACCAAAUGAAAGUACACGACACGCGUACAAUUGAAGCCCUGCAGGCGGAGUGCGAUCACCUCCGCCACCAGCUGGCCGCCGGCGUGGACGAGCAGGCACAGGCCCACGAGGCCCUCCGCGCUGAGCUGGCGGCGGCGCAGAGCGAGCGCGACAACGCCGCGCAGCAGGCGCAGCAGCACGCAGAGGAGCUGGAGCAGCUCCGCCACCAGCUGGCCGCCGCCGCGGAAGAGCAGGCACAGGCCCACGAGGCCCUCCGCGCUGAGCUGGCGGCGGCGCAGAGCGAGCGCGACAACGCCGCGCAGCAGGCGCAGCAGCACGCAGAGGAGCUGGAGCAGCUCCGCCACCAGCUGGCCGCCGGCGCGGACGAGCAGGCACACGCCCACGAGGCCCUCCGCGCUGAGCUGGCGGCGGCGCAGAGCGAGCGCGACAACGCCGCGCAGCAGGCGCAGCGGCACGCAGAGGAGCUGGAGCAGCUCCGCCACCAGCUGGCCGCCGGCGUGGACGAGCAGGCACAGGCCCACGAGGCCCUCCGCGCUGAGCUGGCGGCGGCGCAGAGCGAGCGCGACAACGCCGCGCAGCAGGCGCAGCGGCACGCAGAGGAGCUGGAGCAGCUCCGCCACCAGCUGGCCGCCGCCGCGGACGAGCAGGCACAGGCCCACGAGGCCCUCCGCGCUGAGCUGGCGGCGGCGCAGAGCGAGCGCGACAACGCCGCGCAGCAGGCGCAGCGGCACGCAGAGGAGCUGGAGCAGCUCCGCCACCAGCUGGCCGCCGCCGCGGAAGAGCAGGCACAGGCCCACGAGGCCCUCCGCGCUGAGCUGGCGGCGGCGCAGAGCGAGCGCGACAACGCCGCGCAGCAGGCGCAGCGGCACGCAGAGGAGCUGGAGCAGCUCCGCCACCAGCUGGCCGCCGGCGUGGACGAGCAGGCACAGGCCCACGAGGCCCUCCGCGCUGAGCUGGCGGCGGCGCAGAGCGAGCGCGACAACGCCGCGCAGCAGGCGCAGCGGCACGCAGAGGAGCUGGAGCAGCUCCGCCACCAGCUGGCCGCCGCCGCGGAAGAGCAGGCACAGGCCCACGAGGCCCUCCGCGCUGAGCUGGCGGCGGCGCAGAGCGAGCGCGACAACGCCGCGCAGCAGGCGCAGCGGCACGCAGAGGAGCUGGAGCAGCUCCGCCACCAGCUGGCCGCCGGCGUGGACGAGCAGGCACAGGCCCACGAGGCCCUCCGCGCUGAGCUGGCGGCGGCGCAGAGCGAGCGCGACAACGCCGCGCAGCAGGCGCAGCGGCACGCAGAGGAGCUGGAGCAGCUCCGCCACCAGCUGGCCGCCGCCGCGGAAGAGCAGGCACAGGCCCACGAGGCCCUCCGCGCUGAGCUGGCGGCGGCGCAGAGCGAGCGCGACAACGCCGCGCAGCAGGCGCAGCGGCACGCAGAGGAGCUGGAGCAGCUCCGCCACCAGCUGGCCGCCGCCGCGGACGAGCAGGCACAGGCCCACGAGGCCCUCCGCGCUGAGCUGGCGGCGGCGCAGAGCGAGCGCGACAACGCCGCGCAGCAGGCGCAGCGGCACGCAGAGGAUGCCGCGUGUGUGAGGCAGGAACUGGGGGCCAAGGCAGCGCAGCUCGAACAGCUGGAGGCAAGCCUUCUUAGCUGGAAGGAGAAGGUGAAAGCCUCCAAGGACCAGGACGCACAGCGCAUCGCUUUGCAGGAGGAGGAACUGGAGCAGCUCCGCCACCAGCUGGCCGCCGCCGCGGAAGAGCAGGCACAGGCCCACGAGGCCCUCCGCGCUGAGCUGGCGGCGGCGCAGAGCGAGCGCGACAACGCCGCGCAGCAGGCGCAGCGGCACGCAGAGGAGCUGGAGCAGCUCCGCCACCAGCUGGCCGCCGCCGCGGACGAGCAGGCACAGGCCCACGAGGCCCUCCGCGCUGAGCUGGCGGCGGCGCAGAGCGAGCGCGACAACGCCGCGCAGCAGGCGCAGCGGCACGCAGAGGAUGCCGCGUGUGUGAGGCAGGAACUGGGGGCCAAGGCAGCGCAGCUCGAACAGCUGGAGGCAAGCCUUCUUAGCUGGAAGGAGAAGGUGAAAGCCUCCAAGGACCAGGACGCACAGCGCAUCGCUUUGCAGGAGGAGGAACUGGAGCAGCUCCGCCACCAGCUGGCCGCCGCCGCGGAAGAGCAGGCACAGGCCCACGAGGCCCUCCGCGCUGAGCUGGCGGCGGCGCAGAGCGAGCGCGACAACGCCGCGCAGCAGGCGCAGCGGCACGCAGAGGAGCUGGAGCAGCUCCGCCACCAGCUGGCCGCCGCCGCGGAAGAGCAGGCACAGGCCCACGAGGCCCUCCGCGCUGAGCUGGCGGCGGCGCAGAGCGAGCGCGACAACGCCGCGCAGCAGGCGCAGCGGCACGCAGAGGAGCUGGAGCAGCUCCGCCACCAGCUGGCCGCCGCCGCGGAAGAGCAGGCACAGGCCCACGAGGCCCUCCGCGCUGAGCUGGCGGCGGCGCAGAGCGAGCGCGACAACGCCGCGCAGCAGGCGCAGCGGCACGCAGAGGAGCUGGAGCAGCUCCGCCACCAGCUGGCCGCCGGCGUGGACGAGCAGGCACAGGCCCACGAGGCCCUCCGCGCUGAGCUGGCGGCGGCGCAGAGCGAGCGCGACAACGCCGCGCAGCAGGCGCAGCGGCACGCAGAGGAGCUGGAGCAGCUCCGCCACCAGCUGGCCGCCGCCGCGGAAGAGCAGGCACAGGCCCACGAGGCCCUCCGCGCUGAGCUGGCGGCGGCGCAGAGCGAGCGCGACAACGCCGCGCAGCAGGCGCAGCGGCACGCAGAGGAGCUGGAGCAGCUCCGCCACCAGCUGGCCGCCGCCGCGGAAGAGCAGGCACAGGCCCACGAGGCCCUCCGCGCUGAGCUGGCGGCGGCGCAGAGCGAGCGCGACAACGCCGCGCAGCAGGCGCAGCGGCACGCAGAGGAGCUGGAGCAGCUCCGCCACCAGCUGGCCGCCGCCGCGGAAGAGCAGGCACAGGCCCACGAGGCCCUCCGCGCUGAGCUGGCGGCGGCGCAGAGCGAGCGCGACAACGCCGCGCAGCAGGCGCAGCGGCACGCAGAGGAGCUGGAGCAGCUCCGCCACCAGCUGGCCGCCGCCGCGGAAGAGCAGGCACAGGCCCACGAGGCCCUCCGCGCUGAGCUGGCGGCGGCGCAGAGCGAGCGCGACAACGCCGCGCAGCAGGCGCAGCGGCACGCAGAGGAGCUGGAGCAGCUCCGCCACCAGCUGGCCGCCGGCGUGGACGAGCAGGCACAGGCCCACGAGGCCCUCCGCGCUGAGCUGGCGGCGGCGCAGAGCGAGCGCGACAACGCCGCGCAGCAGGCGCAGCGGCACGCAGAGGAGCUGGAGCAGCUCCGCCACCAGCUGGCCGCCGCCGCGGAAGAGCAGGCACAGGCCCACGAGGCCCUCCGCGCUGAGCUGGCGGCGGCGCAGAGCGAGCGCGACAACGCCGCGCAGCAGGCGCAGCGGCACGCAGAGGAGCUGGAGCAGCUCCGCCACCAGCUGGCCGCCGGCGUGGACGAGCAGGCACAGGCCCACGAGGCCCUCCGCGCUGAGCUGGCGGCGGCGCAGAGCGAGCGCGACAACGCCGCGCAGCAGGCGCAGCGGCACGCAGAGGAGCUGGAGCAGCUCCGCCACCAGCUGCCCGCCGGCGUGGACGAGCAGGCACAGGCCCACGAGGCCCUCCGCGCUGAGCUGGCGGCGGCGCAGAGCGAGCGCGACAACGCCGCGCAGCAGGCGCAGCGGCACGCAGAGGAUGCCGCGUGUGUGAGGCAGGAACUGGGGGCCAAGGCAGCGCAGCUCGAACAGCUGGAGGCAAGCCUUCUUAGCUGGAAGGAGAAGGUGAAAGCCUCCAAGGACCAGGACGCACAGCGCAUCGCUUUGCAGGAGGAGGAACUGGAGCAGCUCCGCCACCAGCUGGCCGCCGCCGCGGAAGAGCAGGCACAGGCCCACGAGGCCCUCCGCGCUGAGCUGGCGGCGGCGCAGAGCGAGCGCGACAACGCCGCGCAGCAGGCGCAGCGGCACGCAGAGGAGCUGGAGCAGCUCCGCCACCAGCUGGCCGCCGCCGCGGACGAGCAGGCACAGGCCCACGAGGCCCUCCGCGCUGAGCUGGCGGCGGCGCAGAGCGAGCGCGACAACGCCGCGCAGCAGGCGCAGCGGCACGCAGAGGAGCUGGAGCAGCUCCGCCACCAGCUGGCCGCCGCCGCGGACGAGCAGGCACCACGCCCACGAGGCCCUCCGCGCUGAGCUGGCGGCGGCGCAGAGCGAGCGCGACAACGCCGCGCAGCAGGCGCAGCGGCACGCAGAGGAGCUGGAGCAGCUCCGCCACCAGCUGGCCGCCGGCGUGGACGAGCAGGCACAGGCCCACGAGGCCCUCCGCGCUGAGCUGGCGGCGGCGCAGAGCGAGCGCGACAACGCCGCGCAGCAGGCGCAGCGGCACGCAGAGGAGCUGGAGCAGCUCCGCCACCAGCUGGCCGCCGGCGUGGACGAGCAGGCACAGGCCCACGAGGCCCUCCGCGCUGAGCUGGCGGCGGCGCAGAGCGAGCGCGACAACGCCGCGCAGCAGGCGCAGCGGCACGCAGAGGAUGCCGCGGUGUGAGGCAGGAACUGGGGGCCAAGGCAGCGCAGCUCGAACAGCUGGAGGCAAGCCUUCUAGCUGGAAGGAGAAGGUGAAAGCCUCCAAGGACCAGGACGCACAGCGCAUCGCUUUGCAGGAGGAGGAACUGGAGCAGCUCCGCCACCAGCUGGCCGCCGCCGCGGAAGAGCAGGCACAGGCCCACGAGGCCCUCCGCGCUGAGCUGGCGGCGGCGCAGAGCGAGCGCGACAACGCCGCGCAGCAGGCGCAGCGGCACGCAGAGGAGCUGGAGCAGCUCCGCCACCAGCUGGCCGCCGCCGCGGAAGAGCAGGCACAGGCCCACGAGGCCCUCCGCGCUGAGCUGGCGGCGGCGCAGAGCGAGCGCGACAACGCCGCGCAGCAGGCGCAGCGGCACGCAGAGGAGCUGGAGCAGCUCCGCCACCAGCUGGCCGCCGCCGCGGACGAGCAGGCACAGGCCCACGAGGCCCUCCGCGCUGAGCUGGCGGCGGCGCAGAGCGAGCGCGACAACGCCGCGCAGCAGGCGCAGCGGCACGCAGAGGAGCUGGAGCAGCUCCGCCACCAGCUGGCCGCCGGCGUGGACGAGCAGGCACAGGCCCACGAGGCCCUCCGCGCUGAGCUGGCGGCGGCGCAGAGCGAGCGCGACAACGCCGCGCAGCAGGCGCAGCGGCACGCAGAGGAUGCCGCGUGUGUGAGGCAGGAACUGGGGGCCAAGGCAGCGCAGCUCGAACAGCUGGAGGCAAGCCUUCUUAGCUGGAAGGAGAAGGUGAAAGCCUCCAAGGCCCAGGACGCACAGCGCAUCGCUUUGCAGGAGGAGGAACUGGAGCAGCUCCGCCACCAGCUGGCCGCCGGCGCGGAAGAGCAGGCACAGGCCCACGAGGCCCUCCGCGCUGAGCUGGCGGCGGCGCAGAGCGAGCGCGACAACGCCGCGCAGCAGGCGCAGCGGCACGCAGAGGAUGCCGCGUGUGUGAGGCAGGAACUGGGGGCCAAGGCAGCGCAGCUCGAACAGCUGGAGGCAAGCCUUCUUAGCUGGAAGGAGAAGGUGAAAGCCUCCAAGGACCAGGACGCACAGCGCAUCGCUUUGCAGGAGGAGGAACUGGAGCAGCUCCGCCACCAGCUGGCCGCCGCCGCGGAAGAGCAGGCACAGGCCCACGAGGCCCUCCGCGCUGAGCUGGCGGCGGCGCAGAGCGAGCGCGACAACGCCGCGCAGCAGGCGCAGCGGCACGCAGAGGAGCUGGAGCAGCUCCGCCACCAGCUGGCCGCCGCCGCGGACGAGCAGGCACAGGCCCACGAGGCCCUCCGCGCUGAGCUGGCGGCGGCGCAGAGCGAGCGCGACAACGCCGCGCAGCAGGCGCAGCGGCACGCAGAGGAUGCCGCGUGUGUGAGGCAGGAACUGGGGGCCAAGGCAGCGCAGCUCGAACAGCUGGAGGCAAGCCUUCUUAGCUGGAAGGAGAAGGUGAAAGCCUCCAAGGCCCAGGACGCACAGCGCAUCGCUUUGCAGGAGGAGGAACUGGAGCAGCUCCGCCACCAGCUGGCCGCCGCCGCGGAAGAGCAGGCACAGGCCCACGAGGCCCUCCGCGCUGAGCUGGCGGCGGCGCAGAGCGAGCGCGACAACGCCGCGCAGCAGGCGCAGCGGCACGCAGAGGAGCUGGAGCAGCUCCGCCACCAGCUGGCCGCCGCCGCGGACGAGCAGGCACAGGCCCACGAGGCCCUCCGCGCUGAGCUGGCGGCGGCGCAGAGCGAGCGCGACAACGCCGCGCAGCAGGCGCAGCAGCACGCAGAGGAGCUGGAGCAGCUCCGCCACCAGCUGGCCGCCGGCGCGGACGAGCAGGCACACGCCCACGAGGCCCUCCGCGCUGAGCUGGCGGCGGCGCAGAGCGAGCGCGACAACGCCGCGCAGCAGGCGCAGCGGCACGCAGAGGAGCUGGAGCAGCUCCGCCACCAGCUGGCCGCCGCCGCGGAAGAGCAGGCACAGGCCCACGAGGCCCUCCGCGCUGAGCUGGCGGCGGCGCAGAGCGAGCGCGACAACGCCGCGCAGCAGGCGCAGCGGCACGCAGAGGAGCUGGAGCAGCUCCGCCACCAGCUGGCCGCCGCCGCGGACGAGCAGGCACAGGCCCACGAGGCCCUCCGCGCUGAGCUGGCGGCGGCGCAGAGCGAGCGCGACAACGCCGCGCAGCAGGCGCAGCGGCACGCAGAGGAGCUGGAGCAGCUCCGCCACCAGCUGGCCGCCGCCGCGGAAGAGCAGGCACAGGCCCACGAGGCCCUCCGCGCUGAGCUGGCGGCGGCGCAGAGCGAGCGCGACAACGCCGCGCAGCAGGCGCAGCGGCACGCAGAGGAGCUGGAGCAGCUCCGCCACCAGCUGGCCGCCGCCGCGGAAGAGCAGGCACAGGCCCACGAGGCCCUCCGCGCUGAGCUGGCGGCGGCGCAGAGCGAGCGCGACAACGCCGCGCAGCAGGCGCAGCGGCACGCAGAGGAGCUGGAGCAGCUCCGCCACCAGCUGGCCGCCGCCGCGGAAGAGCAGGCACAGGCCCACGAGGCCCUCCGCGCUGAGCUGGCGGCGGCGCAGAGCGAGCGCGACAACGCCGCGCAGCAGGCGCAGCGGCACGCAGAGGAGCUGGAGCAGCUCCGCCACCAGCUGGCCGCCGCCGCGGACGAGCAGGCACAGGCCCACGAGGCCCUCCGCGCUGAGCUGGCGGCGGCGCAGAGCGAGCGCGACAACGCCGCGCAGCAGGCGCAGCGGCACGCAGAGGAGCUGGAGCAGCUCCGCCACCAGCUGGCCGCCGCCGCGGAAGAGCAGGCACAGGCCCACGAGGCCCUCCGCGCUGAGCUGGCGGCGGCGCAGAGCGAGCGCGACAACGCCGCGCAGCAGGCGCAGCGGCACGCAGAGGAGCUGGAGCAGCUCCGCCACCAGCUGGCCGCCGCCGCGGAAGAGCAGGCACAGGCCCACGAGGCCCUCCGCGCUGAGCUGGCGGCGGCGCAGAGCGAGCGCGACAACGCCGCGCAGCAGGCGCAGCGGCACGCAGAGGAGCUGGAGCAGCUCCGCCACCAGCUGGCCGCCGCCGCGGACGAGCAGGCACAGGCCCACGAGGCCCUCCGCGCUGAGCUGGCGGCGGCGCAGAGCGAGCGCGACAACGCCGCGCAGCAGGCGCAGCGGCACGCAGAGGAUGCCGCGUGUGUGAGGCAGGAACUGGGGGCCAAGGCAGCGCAGCUCGAACAGCUGGAGGCAAGCCUUCUUAGCUGGAAGGAGAAGGUGAAGAGCGCAAAACUGAUGGAUUCCGAGAGAAUUUUGAGACUGAGCGAGGAGAGGGAUGGCUGGCAGAGGGAGGCGGCGAGGGUUUCGGAGGCUGUGCGGAUGCUGUGUGCCAGUGCUAAGAUCUGCAGUAAUGCGGGGUCGCCGACGGAGUGGUCGGAGAGUCUGUGUGAAGCUGUGAAAGAUGGGCAGGCCGCCUUAGUUUGCCUUUCGUUUGAACGAUGGACGGAAAGCACUUGGGCGGGUAUCCAAGGUUUCAAGGAGCAGUUGACAGCUUACCUGGGUGCUCGUGCGUCUGCGGCCAAGGAAGCGGCUGAGAGAGUAGAGGCUCUGGAGGCUGAAGUCUUGCGCCUAAAGGAAUCGGAGGCUUCAUUGAGUGCUCGUUGCGAAAAUACCGAAGCUCAUGCAAGGAGUGUUGAAGAGGAUUUGAAGCGUGCAUCGACUCAAGCAGAGCGUGUUUCAGAAUUGGAACAGGAGACCAGUGAUCUCAGGACGCGGUGCAACCUUCUUCGAAAAGAACUGCAGAGGCAGCGGGAGGCAAUGCAGCGAGACCGGUCGCAGCCGCACGAGACUGCAAACAGCGAGGCUGCAGCGUCUCCAAUCACGGAGAAUGCAAGUGCAGUUCAGUCUGUUUUGCUUGCGGCUGCGGGCUGUGUGUCGGAGCGGGAUGUCGUGACCUUUGUGGACAGCAGGGGUUCGCAGGGCGGGUCUCUCAAGCUGAGCAAGCUAGGAGCAGAGCAGCUGAUCAAGGAGAAUGCAGAACUCAAGCGAGAAAACGCGCACAACAACACCGUCAUUGCUCAGUACAUCAGAGAGUUAGAGGGGUACAAGGCAAAUGAACGAGUGCAGCUUAGCAUCGAGUAUCUCCGCAACAUAGUACAGCAGUAUCUCUGUGCGGCAGAGGAUUUGCGCCCAAAGAUGAUUCCGGCCAUUUGCACCGUUCUGGAAUUCAGCAGCAAACAAAAAGAAGACGUCCAAACAGCGAACCCACGAUGCCCUCGAUUUCACUGACCGUCGUCGACGCUGUUGAGAUGAAUGGCCUGGAGCGGCAAAGCCGGUGACUGUCGUGUGCUCUGGUGACGCCAUCAAUGGCAUGACAAGCGAUAAUGCGAAAAGAGAGGUACCCUGCGCUCCUCGGCACUAGCGUGAUUGCCUUUAGCUUUGCUGCAUCCAUGCGCUCCCCUGAUGACAGGGGCACACCUCGGCGCGCCGCAUCAGGGCUCAGUGGCCCCACUCUGUCUGUGAAGGGGACAAGCAGGCCCCUUCCCCCCUAUGCCUGCCAAUGCCGGUCCACCUCCGGUGGCGGCAGGGUCAAGCGCCCGCGACGCAGCGAAGUGAGAGCGAUGUAUUGCUGGUGGUGUAUGGGCGGUCAGGUCCUGGAUGGCGCUGCUUUGCCCGACGCGAUGGGGGCCUGUGUGAGCGGUCGGGGUCACGUGGCGUUCAGCUCACGUUGUAUGGUGGCAUGGACAUGUUGAACCGCGGAAGCUCGCUGCUGUCGCACUUUUCAUUUCAUUUUUUUGGCAGACUAGCUUUCUGCUACUCUAUGGCCUUUAC